GGCUGGGUAGCUCAGUGGAUAGAGAGCCAAGCCUAGAGGUGGGAGGUCCUAGGUUCGAAUCCAGCCUCAGCCA
rfam:Monodelphis domestica cont3.068882, whole genome shotgun sequence.